rnacentral:rRNA from 1 species
AUUGAACGCUGGCGGCAGGCUUAACACAUGCAAGUCGAGCGGAGAGAGGUAGCUUGCUACUGAUCUUAGCGGCGGACGGGUGAGUAAUGCUUAGGAAUCUGCCUAUUAGUGGGGGACAACAUUUCGAAAGGAAUGCUAAUACCGCAUACGUCCUACGGGAGAAAGCAGGGGAUCUUCGGACCUUGCGCUAAUAGAUGAGCCUAAGUCGGAUUAGCUAGUUGGUGGGGUAAAGGCCUACCAAGGCGACGAUCUGUAGCGGGUCUGAGAGGAUGGACCGCCACACUGGGACUGAGCCACGGCCCAAACUCCUACGGGGGGCAGCAGUGGGGAAUAUUGGACAAGGGGCGCAAGCCUGAUCCAGCCAUGCCGCGUGUGUGAAGAAGGCCUUAUGGUUGUAAAGCACUUUAAGCGAGGAGGAGGCUACUUUAGUUAAUACCUAGAGAUAGUGGACGUUACUCGCAGAAUAAGCACCGGCUAACUCUGUGCCAGCCGCCGCCGUAAAAC